rnacentral:rRNA from 1 species
GAUGAACGCUGGCGGCGUGCCUAAUACAUGCAAGUCGAGCGAACGGACGAGAAGCUUGCUUCUCUGAUGUUUGCGGCGGACGGGUGAGUAACAUGUGGAUAAUGUCCCUAUAAUACUGGUAUAAUUUCGGGAAACCGGAGCUAAUACCGGAUGAUAUUUUGCACCGCAUUGUUCGAAAGUGAAAGACGGUCUUGGUGUCACUUAUAGAUGGAUCCGGGCUGCAUUAGCUAGUUGUUAAGGUAACGGCUUACCAAGGCAACGAUGCAUAGCCGACCUGAGAGGCGGGUAGGCCACCCGGGAACGGGGACGGGCACAAGACUCCUGAGGGACGCACCAGACGGGUAUGGUACGCAGUAGGGGGGAACAUGACAGAGCGGCGCCACGCGAGUGAUAGAAGUCUUCGGUGCGUAAAACUCUCUUAUUAGGGAAAAACCUAUGUGUACGUAACUGUGCCCAUAUUGACGGUACCUGGUAAGAAAGCAACGGCUAACUACGUG